UACGGAGGGUGCAAGCGUUCUCCGGAUUCACUGGGUUUAAAGGGUGCGUAGGCGGACAGGUAAGUCAGUGGUGAAAUCUCUGGGCUUAACCCAGAAACUGCCGUUGAUACUAUUUGUCUUGAAUAUCCUGGAGGUAGGCGGAAUAUGUCAUGUAGCGGUGAAAUGCUUAGAUAUGACAUAGAACACCGAUAGCGAAGGCAGCUUACUACAGGAUGAUUGACGCUGAGGCACGAAAGCGUGGGGAGCAAACAGG
rnacentral:rRNA from 1 species